AACAAGUUUGGAACAAGCUGUUAACAACUUGUAACAACCUUGUCGAUAUUAUCAGACUUGUUGCAAGGUUGUUCCAACAAGUCUGAUAUAGUCAUGAUAUAACAAUAUUGUUACAACUUUGCGUUGUCAACCUUGUAACACUCUUGUUAUAUCAUGACUGUAUCAGGCUUGUUAGGAGUUAGAACAACCUUGUAACAAGUCUGAUAAUGUCAUCAAGCUUGAUACAAGUUGUUGACAGCUUGUUCAAAACUUGUU
rnacentral:miRNA from 1 species